AAAGCCAAAGUAGAAUCGUACUUACUUACACGUAAUUAAUUUAAACUUUUUAACAUUUUUUCAAAACUACUCCCAACUAAGAACACCGUAUCUUCACCGAAGAUCCAUGUCAUCUGUCUGAAUCUCUUUCAAAGUACUGUCCUAAAAAGGUUUCAAUUUUCCCAACACAAAAAAUAAAAAAAUAAAAUCUACGGUAAUAUUGUUUGGUUUCCUAUAAUUUUUGAGAAUUUGGGGAUCAUUAAAUUUUAUGAAAAAGGAGAUUAUGGUAAAUUAAAAAGAGAGAAGAGAGAAAAAAAAUGAAGAAAAAAACACCGACUCAUCCUAUGGGAGAAACGGACGAAAAUCUCGGUGCUGGCAAGAUUCCUUCACAGUCCUUUGCUGUUUUUUUUUUCUCACUUUUUUUUUUUCUGUGCUU
rnacentral:lncRNA from 1 species